rnacentral:rRNA from 1 species
AUGAACGCUGGCGGCGUGCCUAACACAUGCAAGUCGAACGGGACUAUCAAGUGAUGUUUCGGACUGAACUUUUAGUUAGUGGCGGACGGGUGAGUAACGCGUGGACAACCUGCCUCUCACUGGGGGAUAGCAGCUGGAAACGGCUGGUAAUACCGCAUGCGUUCAAUGUGCCGCAUGACACAUUGAAGAAAGAUUUAUCGGUGAGAGAUGGGUCCGCGUCUGAUUAGCCAGUUGGCGGGGUAACGGCCCACCAAAGCGACGAUCAGUAGCCGGCCUGAGAGGGCGGACGGCCACAUUGGGACUGAGACACGGCCCAGACUCCUACGGGAGGCAGCAGUGGGGGAUAUUGCACAAUGGGCGCAAGCCUGAUGCAGCGACGCCGCCGUGAGUGAAGAAGUAUUUCGGUAUGUAAAGCUCUAUCAGCAGGGAAGAAAGGCCCGCAAGGGAGAUGACGGUACCUGACUAAGAAGCCCCGGCUAACUACGUGCCAGCAGCUGC